rnacentral:rRNA from 1 species
GUAGGGAAUAUUGGACAAUGGGCGAAAGCCUGAUCCAGCCAUGCCGCGUGAUAGAUGAAGGCCCUCUGGGUUGUAAAUAUCUUUUAUCUGGGAAGAAACUCCUCUAUUCUUAGAGGCCUGACGGUACCAGAGGAAUAAGCACCGGCUAACUCCGUGCCAGCAGCCGCGGUAAUAAGGAGGGUGCAAGCGUUAUCCGGAUUCACUGGGUUUAAAGGGUGCGUAGGCGGGUUGAUAAGUCAGUGGUGAAAGCUCCGGGCUUAACUUGGAAACUGCCAUUGAUACUGUCAGUCUUGAAUGUCGUAGAGGUAAGCGGAAUGUUGCAUGUAGCGGUGAAAUGCUUAGAUAUGUUACAGAACACCAAUUGCGAAGGCAGCUUACUAUGCGAUAAUUGACGCUGAGGCACGAAAGCGUGGGGAGCAAACAGGAUUAGAUACCCGAGUAGUCC